rnacentral:rRNA from 1 species
UGGGGAAUUUUGGACAAUGGGCGAAAGCCUGAUCCAGCAAUGCCGCGUGUGUGAAGAAGGCCUUCGGGUUGUAAAGCACUUUUGUCCGGAAAGAAAUCCUUGGCUCUAAUACAGUCGGGGGAUGACGGUACCGGAAGAAUAAGCACCGGCUAACUACGUGCCAGCAGCCGCGGUAAUACGUAGGGUGCAAGCGUUAAUCGGAAUUACUGGGCGUAAAGCGUGCGCAGGCGGUUUGCUAAGACCGAUGUGAAAUCCCCGGGCUCAACCUGGGAACUGCAUUGGUGACUGGCAGGCUAGAGUAUGGCAGAGGGGGGUAGAAUUCCACGUGUAGCAGUGAAAUGCGUAGAGAUGUGGAGGAAUACCGAUGGCGAAGGCAGCCCCCUGGGCCAAAUACUGACGCUCAUGCACGAAAGCGUGGGGAGCAAACAGGAUUAGAUACCCUGGUAGUCCACGCCCUAAACGAUGUCAACUAGUUGUUGGGGAUUCAUUUCCUUAGUAACGUAGCUAACGCGUGAAGUUGACCGCCUGGGGAGUACGGUCGCAAGAUUAAAACUUAAAGGAAUUGACGGGGUCAUAGCUGUUUCC